rnacentral:rRNA from 1 species
GACGAACGCUGGCGGCGUGCUUAACACAUGCAAGUCGAACGGAAAGGCCCUGCUUGCAGGGUACUCGAGUGGCGAACGGGUGAGUAACACGUGGGUGAUCUGCCCUGCACUUCGGGAUAAGCCUGGGAAACUGGGUCUAAUACCGGAUAGGAGCCAUUUUUAGUGUGAUGGUUGGAAAGUUUUUUCGGUGUAGGAUGAGCUCGCGGCCUAUCAGCUUGUUGGUGGGGUAAUGGCCUACCAAGGCGGCGACGGGUAGCCGGCCUGAGAGGGUGGACGGCCACAUUGGGACUGAGAUACGGCCCAGACUCCUACGGGAGGCAGAAGUGGGGAAUAUUGCACAAUGGGCGCAAGCCUGAUGCAGCGACGCCGCGUGGGGGAUGACGGCCUUCGGGUUGUAAACUCCUUUCGCUAGGGACGAAGCUUUUGUGACGGUACCUAGAUAAGAAGCACCGGCUAACUACGUG